rnacentral:rRNA from 1 species
AUUGAACGCUGGCGGCAGGCCUAACACAUGCAAGUCGAGCGGAUGAAGGGAGCUUGCUCCUGGAUUCAGCGGCGGACGGGUGAGUAAUGCCUAGGAAUCUGCCUGGUAGUGGGGGAUAACGUCCGGAAACGGGCGCUAAUACCGCAUACGUCCUGAGGGAGAAAGUGGGGGAUCUUCGGACCUCACGCUAUCAGAUGAGCCUAGGUCGGAUUAGCUAGUUGGUGGGGUAAAGGCCUACCAAGGCGACGAUCCGUAACUGGUCUGAGAGGAUGAUCAGUCACACUGGAACUGAGACACGGUCCAGACUCCUACGGGAGGCAGCAGUGGGGAAUAUUGGACAAUGGGCGAAAGCCUGAUCCAGCCAUGCCGCGUGUGUGAAGAAGGUCUUCGGAUUGUAAAGCACUUUAAGUUGGGAGGAAGGGCAGUAAGUUAAUACUUGCUGUUUUGACGUUACCAACAGAAUAAGCACCGC